UACGUAGGCAGCAAGCGUUGUUCGGAAUUACUGGGCUUAAAGGGUGCGUAGGCGGCGCGGAAAGUUGGGUGUGAAAUCCCUCGGCUCAACCGAGGAACUGCGCCCAAAACUACCGUGCUCGAGGAAGAUAGAGGUGAGCGGAACUUACGGUGGAGCGGUGAAAUGCGUUGAUAUCGUAAGGAACACCCGUGGCGAAAGCGGCUCACUGGGUCUUCUCUGACGCUGAUGCACGAAAGCUAGGGGAGCAAACGGG
rnacentral:rRNA from 1 species